rnacentral:lncRNA from 1 species
CGUGUUAAAAGGGUAAAUAUGUUGCAUUUCCAUCCAAGCAUGCCCGGAACUCGCACAUAUUUGGCAUGCUGACAGUGAGAGAGUAAUUUUGUAUAUUACAUGAAGCAAAGGCACUAGUAAAUCCAACUUAAUUACAAAUAUCAAAUCCAAUUCAAAAAUUUGAUCAACUAACCAUGUUUAAGGUUUUAACUUUAAAUUUUCCUAAUCAAUCUAAAAAUAAAAAUUACCUUUCAACUACCGAUAGAUUUUCAUAUAUUCCUUUCCCUCCACAGUUUUGUUAACAAUUUUCUAUCAUAUAAUUUUUGGGUUGAAAUCGUGUUAAAAAGGUAAAGAUGUUGCGUUUUCUUCCAAAAAUGCAUGGAACCUGCACAUGCCAUACUAACCAUGUGAAUGUAAUUUUGUAUAUUGCAUGAAAUCCAUUUAAUACAAAAGCUCCAAUAAAUCCAACUAAAUUACAAACAUGAAAUCAAAUUCAGAAAUUUGGCCAACCAAAUAUGGUUAUGUAUUUAACUUCUAAUUUCCCUCAUACAAAAAAUAAAAGUGGCUCUUCAAUUGCAAAAAUUCCGUGGCAUUUUGUUAUACUUCUUUCCCUCUACAGUUUUCUUUCACAAUUUUCUAUCAUACACCUUUUGGGUUAAGUCGUGUUAAAAGGGUAAAGAUGUUGAAUUUCCAUUCAAACAUGCAUGGGCAAUCAAAAUCAAUUUAAUGCAAAAGCUCUAGUAAAUUCAAUUAAAUUACAAACACCAAAUCAAAUUCAAGAAUUUAGCCAACUAAACUUGGUUAGGGUUUUAACUUUAAAUUUUUCUAAAUAAUCAAAAAAUAAAAGUGACUCUUCAACUGCAAAAACCCAUGGCAUUGUCAUAUACUCCUUUCUCUCUAUAUUUUCUUUCACAAUUUUCUAUCAUACAAUUUUCGAUUGUAUUAAACUUCUCCAGAAAAAUUCCUCAAUCUCAGGGCUCCGGAAAUAAUGUAAAAGCAAUCACUAUCAAUAUGAUCAUAUUUUCUUAAAAAAUUAUUAAACGAAUGUUGUCAUCAUUUCUUGAUGCCAAUAUAGUUGGGAUGAUUCACAAGAUGAUAAAUUGGCAUCUCAUUCAAAUCUAUAUGAAGUGUCAUAGGUCUCAAGCCACAUUCUGAGCAACAUUUUGACUCUCCAUUGUUCAAAGCCUAAUGCAGAAAUCUACCAUAAAGCUCUCUCUUUUAUAAUACAAGAAUUUAUGUGAGGCUUCAUAAGUGAGUGCUUCAUAGGAGAAAAAAUGGUCUUUCUGAAUUACGCGAAAGAGGUAUGGGACACCAGUUGAAGUGUGAAGCACAGGGGAAGCCUUAAGCAAUAUUUUUCCGUCAUACCUUAUUUUUUUCUCUUGACAAAGAGAGUUAUGCAAUCUAUCCACAAAAACAUGAAAGGUUAAAAAUAUGUAAAAAUGAAAUUUGUCCCGUCCAAGAAGAAUAUAUAA